rnacentral:rRNA from 1 species
CGAGCGAAGCGGGAAGAGCUCAAAUUUAUAAUCUGGCACUUUCAGUGUCCGAGUUGUAAUCUCUAGAAGUGUUUUCCGCGUUGGACCGCACACAAGUCUGUUGGAAUACAGCGGCACAGUGGUGACACCCCCGUACACGGUGCGGACGCCCAGCGCUUUGUGAUACACUUUCGAAGAGUCGAGUUGUUUGGGAAUGCAGCUCAAAUUGGGUGGUAAAUUCCAUCUAAAGCUAAAUAUUGGCGAGAGACCGAUAGCGAACAAGUACCGUGAGGGAAAGAUGAAAAGCACUUUGGAAAGAGAGUUAACAGUACGUGAAAUUGUUGGAAGGGAAACGCUUGAAGUCAGACUUGCUUGCCGGAGCUUGCUUCGGUUUGCAGGCCAGCAUCAGUUUUCCGGGGUGGAUAAUGGCGGUCAGAAGGUAGCAGCUUCAGCUGUGUUAUAGCUUUCCGCUGGAUACAUCCUGGGGGACUGAGGAACGCAGCGUGCUUUUAGCGGGGGUUUCGACCUCUUCACGCUUAGG